UACGGAGGGUGCAAGCGUUAAUCGGAAUUACUGGGCGUAAAGCGUGCGUAGGCGGUUCGUUAAGUCUGUCGUGAAAAGCCCCGGGCUCAACCUGGGAAUGGCAAUGGAUACUGGCGAGCUAGAGUGUGUCAGAGGAUGGUGGAAUUCCCGGUGUAGCGGUGAAAUGCGUAGAGAUCGGGAGGAACAUCAGUGGCGAAGGCGGCCAUCUGGGACAACACUGACGCUGAGCACGAAAGCGUGGGGAGC
rnacentral:rRNA from 1 species